rnacentral:rRNA from 1 species
GACGAACGCUGGCGGCGUGCCUAAUACAUGCAAGUCGAGCGGAUGACAGAGGAGCUUGCUCCUCUAGAUUCAGCGGCGGACGGGUGAGUAACACGUGGGCAACCUGCCCUGUAGAUUGGGAUAACUCCGGGAAACCGGGGCUAAUACCGAAUAAUCCUUCGGACCUCAUGGUCCGAUGUUGAAAGACGGCUUCGGCUGUCACUACAGGAUGGCCCCGCGGCGCAUUAGCUAGUUGGUGAGGUAACGGCUCACCAAGGCCACGAUGCGUAGCCGACCUGAGAGGGUGAUCGGCCACACUGGGACUGAGACACGGCCCAGACUCCUACGGGAGGCAGCAGUAGGGAAUCUUCCACAAUGGACGAAAGUCUGAUGGAGCAACGCCGCGUGAGUGAAGAAGGUUCUCGGAUCGUAAAACUCUGUUGUGAGGGAAGAACAAGUACCGGAGUAACUGCCGGUACCUUGACGGUACCUCAUUAGAAAGCCACGGCUAACUACGUGCCAGCCGCCGCGGUAACAC